rnacentral:rRNA from 1 species
AGUGGCGGACGGGUGAGUAACGCGUGGGUAACCUGCCUCAUACAGGGGGAUAACAGUUAGAAAUGACUGCUAAUACCGCAUAAGCGCACAAAACCGCAUGGUUUGGUGUGAAAAACUGAGGUGGUAUGGGAUGGACCCGCGUCUGAUUAGCUAGUUGGAGAGGUAACGGCUCACCAAGGCAACGAUCAGUAGCCGACCUGAGAGGGUGACCGGCCACAUUGGGACUGAGACACGGCCCAAACUCCUACGGAAGGCAGCAG